rnacentral:sRNA from 1 species
AUCCGGCGCCUUGGCUUCGAUAUUGCGAGCGGGAUCGCCGUGGACGACGUAGUCCGGCACGAACCAGCCUUCGCUGGCGCCUACGAAGGUC